rnacentral:misc_RNA from 1 species
GAAAUGCGAUAAGUAAUGUGAAUUGCAGAAUUCAGUGAAUCAUCGAAUCUUUGAACGCACAUUGCGCCCGCCAGUAUUCUGGCGGGCAUGCCUGUUCGAGCGUCAUUUCAACCAUCAAGCCCCCGGCUUGUGUUGGGGACCUGCGGCUGCCCGCAGGCCCUGAAAAGUAGUGGCGGGCUCGCUGUCACACCGAGCGUAGUAGCAUACAUUCUCGCUCAGGGCGUGCUGCGGGUUCCGGCCGUUAAACGACCUUCAUAACCCAAGGUUGACCUCGGAUCAGGUAGGAAGACCCGCUGAACUUAAGC